rnacentral:rRNA from 1 species
CGGGGUGAGUAAUGUCUGGGAAACUGCCUGAUGGAGGGGGAUAACUGCUGGAAACGGUAGCUAAUACCGCAUAACGUCGCAAGACCAAAGAGGGGGACCUUCGGGCCUCUUGCCAUCGGAUGUGCCCAGAUGGGAUUAGCUAGUAGGUGGGGUAACGGCUCACCUAGGCGACAUCCCUAGCUGGUCUGAGAGGAUGCCAGCCACACUGGAACUGAGACACGGUCCAG